UUUUAAAAAUUUUUUAAAAAAAGAUUAUCGGAAUAUAUUUGACGUUAUAACGUUAUAUGACGUUAUGAGUCGGGAUGGAAUGGAUGAGAUGGGUCGGACGUGACUCAAUAAUGAGAUAUGGGAAGAUCAUCAAUUGUUUGAGAAUUAUUUAUAUUAUUAUUAUCCACUUUGAUCAUGUACGGCAGGAAACCUGAGCAUGAUUUUAAUCUACCGAGUUGAAGUUUAUGGUAAAAAAGAUAUGGAAAUGGCCAGAUAUGUCUGUUUUUGCUAUACCUUUAUUUAAGUCACUGUUAAAAAUAUCAGUUGUUAGAAUGUUAUGCAGAUUUUGGAGAUACUCUGGUCAGGCGGUUUAUCAAAGGAAUCGGCUCCCAUUUUAAAUUGAGUCAUAAAAAUGUUAAACUUUAAUGUCGGAAGUGGAAGCAAUUCAUAUUGAAAUCAAUAAAAUAAUAAAAUUCUUUUUUUUUUCAA